UAAGACGUAGGAUGCGAGCGUUGUCCGGAUUUAUUGGGCGUAAAGAGUUCGUAGGCGGUUAUUUAAGUCUGAUGUUAAAUACUGUGGCCUAACCACAGAACUGCAUUGGAUACUGGAUGACUUGAGUGCGGUAGAGGCAAGUGGAAUUCCCAGUGUAGCGGUGAAAUGCGUAGAUAUUGGGAAGAACACCAGUGGCGUAAGCGACUUGCUGGCCCGUAACUGACGCUGAGGAACGAAAGCCAGGGGAGCGAAUGGGAUUAGAUACCCCAGUAGUCCUGGCCGUAAACGAUGGAUACUAGGCGUUGUGGGUAUCGACCCCUGCAGUGCCGCAGCUAACGCGAUAAGUAUCCCGCCUGAGUAGUACGGCCGCAAGGUUG
rnacentral:rRNA from 1 species